rnacentral:rRNA from 1 species
UACGUAGGGGGCAAGCGUUGUCCGGAUUUAUUGGGCGUAAAGAGCGUGUAGGCGGCCUGACAGGUCUGCUGUGAAAACUCGAGGCUCAACCUCGAGAUGUCGGCGGAAACCGUCUGGCUAGAGUCCGGAAGAGGAGAGUGGAAUUCCUGGUGUAGCGGUGAAAUGCGCAGAUAUCAGGAAGAACACCUAUGGCGAAGGCAGCUCUCUGGGACGGUACUGACGCUGAGACGCGAAAGCAUGGGGAGCGAACAGG